GACAUAUUGCAUUACAACAAUAUGGAAUUAAUACUUUCAUAAUGGAUUAUAAUUGUGGUAUGUAGAUGCAACUAAUUAAAUUUUCUACUCAGUCAAUUAAGUGUAAUUAAUCAAAAAAAAUGUGGAAUUAUAUUGGCGUGCUUUUGAAGCAAGUUUCCUACUAUUAUUUGAUAUUUUUAUGCUUAUAUUUAUAAUAUUAUGCUAUUAUAUGCAUGAAUUAGAUAUUAUGCUCAUAUAUGUGUAUGUGGGUAGUCUAUGCUAACUUCAAAUUUGUAUAUACACUAGAUAUCUUGACUUUAUUUGUUAUUUUACUACACUUACUUGAAAUCAAAAGAUUAUGUGUUUUACAUAACUAUUUGAAGACCAACGUUACAGAUUUCCACAAGAUCUUUGGUUGUUAUCAUACCAAGAAUAUUUUCAUUCUAAAUUUUUACUAAAAGCACUUGAAUAUAAAACCAUAAUUUAGGCGUUUUGUUAAGCUUUUUAUAUUUCUUUGUUCUAAUUGAUUGGUAGGAAAUAUUCUAAAGAUAGGCAUUGAGGUAGGAUCCAUAGUAAUGCUUCUUAUCAAUUACCACCCUAAUCUCUAUACAAUUUGUUGGAAUUUUUGAUUUAUAUAAUUGUUGUACCAGUUUGUCUAUAUGGUGGAUUCAUUUCAUGAAUUUAUUACUAUCCAUUCAUCUUUCAAAUUUAUUUAUAGUUUCUUUGUUGAUCCAUGUGACAAUUUGUUUAUUUGUUUCUUUGUUGAUCGCUGUAGGGUUUGUUGUUUUGUGGCUUGAUACUUUACAAGACACACCAUGGCGGACUAAAGCUGUGACUGAGAACUCACCAUCAGCAGGGUAUUUGAAGAGGAUUGUAUGGGCAAGAGCAGAGGUGUAUGUGUGUUCUUUUUAUUGUUUCAGAUUUUUUAAUGUUUUUUUUGUUGAUCCAUGUGUUUCUUUGUUUUUAAUUUUUAUUGUUGUCUGUUUGUUGUUUGUUUGAUCAGCCAUUUACAAACUGAGUAAGGUUUGAAUCUGCAAAAAAAUCAUUUUGAUAAACCUAACAGCAACUUGCAACAACACCAGACUGUGGCAGAAAGGUCUUGCCACAAUCAACAUUUAUUAGAGCUAUGAAGACAAACAACAACCAAUGAUAAUAAACAACAAUACUAGAACAUAUGUGAGUCUUAAAUUCUAGAAGUUUUUUAAUUCUUGUGUAUUUUUUUGUUUUUGUUUAUUUUUUUAUGUGUAUGAAAUAUGUUAAUUCUUAAAUGGGAGCCAAUUUUUUAUUUGUCAUCUUUUGGCUUAUAUAUUUUUGUUUAAAAUAUUAAAAAACUUGUACCAUAAGGUUACUUUUUUUAAUUGUGCUACUAUAUAAACAAGUUCUUCAAUUUGCAAGUAUUGUUUCUUAUCAUUGUAGUGCUCAUCUUUAAUAUUGGUGAUGAUACUCUUGCAACACAAUAGACGAAGUUAUCACUAAGAUAAUAAGUGCUAUAUUUAUUACAAAUUUACUGCUAGAAAUAAAGACUUCCUAUGUAGUACAUUGUUCAAUUGAAUCAAUCUUUGAUAAUUCUUUGUCAAAGCCAAAGAAAUCUUUCUUUUGUUGUAGUGAUAUAUAGAGCAUUGAGAGUUAGAAGAUGUGUAGGAAUUCCAAACUAGCAGUAAGAAGAUGAAUGCAUAUAUAUCAUGUAGUUGGAAUAUAUAGGAUAUACGUAAAUAAAUGAGUGCAUAUGUAGUGCAUCAUUAUAUAAAGAAUAUAGAUCAUUUUGGUGCUGAAAGUUCAUCAUUAUUUUGGAACUUAUAUUGGUUGAUUAGACCUUUUAUAAUAAAACUAUAUGGUAUUUAUUAAGAAAAUUAUGCAUUGUAAUAAAAAAAAUAUAUAUAUAUAUAUAUAUUACAUGAUCAUAUCUAUUAUAAUCAAGUAUAUGUAAUAUCUAAGAUAUUUUUCAUAAAUCAUAGUAUUUUCUUGGAAAUAGUAUUUAAACAUAUCCAUUAUAUUCUUCCACAUCUACAAUCAAAGGACCUAAAAAUGUUAUUCUUCUAUAAUGAUGGUUUAUUUUGUUGGUGUGAUUUAAAUUGAAAAGACCAUAAGAAGGUUUCAUUAACAAACUUGAAUACAAAUAUAAAUAAUAGUGAUUUAGAAUUAUAAUUUAUAUAUUUUUAAUUAUGUGAUUUUUAAAAAAUUAUAACAAUAAUCCAUGUAUUAUUAUUAUUAUUAUUAUUAUUAUUAUUAUCAAAAGAUAUUAUUAUUAUUAUCAAAAGAUAUUAUUAUUAUUAAAAUAAUCUUAUUAUUAAAAGAUAUUAUUAUCAAAAGGUAUUAUCAAAUCAUUUUUU
rnacentral:lncRNA from 1 species